ensembl:snRNA U4 U4 spliceosomal RNA
AGGCUGAGGCAGGAGAAUUGCCUGAACCCAGGAGCCAGAGGUUGCCGAGACGCAAUUAUUGCUGAUUGAAAACUUUUCACAAUACCCCGCCAUGAUGACUUGAAAUAUAGUUGGCGUUGGCAAUUUUUGGCAGUCUCUACGGAGA